UCGUGAUCCACCCGAGCUCACGCCUUUAAUCCUAGCACUUUGGGAGUCUGAGGCGGAUGGAUCACCUGAUCUCAGCAGUUCAAGAUCAGCCUGACCAAUAUGGUGAAAUCCCCAUCUCUACUAAAAAUACAAAAUUAGCCAGGCGUAGUGGCACAUGCCUGUAAUUCCAGCUACUUGGGAGGCUGAGGCAGGAGAAUUGUUUGAACCCGGGAGGCAGAGGUUGCAGUCAGCUGAGAUUGCGCCACUGCAUUCCAGCCUGGGCAACAAGAGCGAAACUCUGUCUCAAACAAACAAAUACAAACAUAAAACCAUUCUUCGCUCAUGGCUGUAUAACAACAGGGGUUGAGCUGGAUUUGGCCCUUGGGCCAUACUUUGCUGAACCCUACUGUAGUUGACACUGUGGUAGCCUCCUGACAGCCCCUCCUGCCUUCCCAUUAUGUCGCAACUGUUUGAAUUUGGAAGGAACUGACCCGUCUCUUGCUCCAGGAGGAGCAUAACUCUUAACCUAAUCAGUUAAUUCUUUUUUUGAAAUAGGGUCUCGCUCUGUUGCCCAGACUGGAGUGCAAUAGUCCGAUGAUAGCUCACUGCAGAUUCAACCUUCUGGGUUCAAGCAAUCCUCCCGCCUCAGCCUCCACAGUAGCUGGGACUCCAAACAGUGAUCUCCUGGACAUGAAAGAUGGACAAGCUGAUACCCAGCUAGAGCUCUCAAGAGAACAGAAACGCGUUUCACAUUCUCCACAAAGCUAGAAACAAACAACACUGUGGAGGAUUUUUACUGGUCAUACCUUGGGUCAUGUGCCCUUCCCUGAACCAAUCUGCAGUCAGAAGGAUGAAGUACUCUAAUUGGCCAGUUUUGGGUCACGUGCCGGUUCCUGGCUGUCAUUGCACCAACACAUCAGGGAAUGGGGAGUUGAGGAGUGAGGAGCUUCCCCUACACAGAGAGACGGUGGGUAAACCAUUUGUCUGCUAAAACCUUCCAGAUACAUCUAGAAUGCAUCCAUCCACAUCAUGCUAGGCUGAGCUACUAUCACCUGGUACUUGGAACCGCUUCCUCACUGGUCUACCAUCUCCCUUGCAAACAUUUUCUACAACAGCCAGUAAUCCCUAAACAUGAAUUCCAUCACAUCACUCUCUUCCUGUGCUCAGCUUCCCAUUCUCAAGGGAAGUCCUCCCAUCUUCUACAGAAUAUCUACCUACCCAGCCCAAUUAUAUGUGAGCUUUUUAGGUUUUUUUUUUAGAGCAAAGGAAUGACAGGUUUUGUCAAGCUGCAGGUGACUAUAAGAUACAGACAGCUGACAAUUGUGGACUCCUCAGGCGUGGUGAAAGAUUGAGCUACUAUCAUUAGGGUUGGCUGGAUAGGACCCCGGCAGGCACCUGGGGAUAGUGGUGCUGGGAAGUUCUGGGGAGUUGCACUUCUGAAUGCUGGCAUGACACUGCCUCAAGACAUCUCUCUAUCCAAAUGGAAAAAACAACCACAUCCUUUGUCAGCUAAGGAGAGUUAGCAAACUGUUUUUAUUAAAUACUGAUGUCUGGCCGGGCACGGUGGCUCACGCCUGUCAUGCUAGCACUUUGGGAGGCCGAGGCGGGUGGAUCACUUGAGGCCAGGAGUUCAAGACCAGCCUGGCCAACAUGGUGAUACCCCAUCUCUACUAAAAAUACAAAAUUAGCCGGGCGUGGUGGCGGGCGCUUGUAAUGCCAGCUACCCGGGAGACUGAGGUAGGAGAAUCACGUGAACCCAGGAGGUGGAGGUUGCAGUGAGCCGAGAUCGCGCCACUGCACUCCAGCCUGUGUGACAGAGUGGGACUCUGCCUCUAAAUAAAUAAAUAAAUAAAAAUA